GUGGGGAAUAUUGGACAAUGGGCGAAAGCCUGAUCCAGCCAUGCCGCGUGCAGGGAGAAGGCCUUCGGGUUGUAAACUGCUUUUGUACGGAACGAAACGGUCCGGGUUAAUACCCUGGGCUAAUGACGGUACCGUAAGAAUAAGCACCGGCUAACUACGUGCCAGCAGCCGCGGUAAUACGUAGGGUGCAAGCGUUAAUCGGAAUUACUGGGCGUAAAGCGUGCGCAGGCGGUUUUGUAAGACAGGCGUGAAAUCCCCGGGCUCAACCUGGGAAUUGCGCUUGUGACUGCAAGGCUGGAGUGCGGCAGAGGGGGAUAGAAUUCCGCGUGUAGCAGUGAAAUGCGUAGAUAUGCGGAGGAACACCGAUGGCGAAGGCAAUCCCCUGGACCUGUACUGACGCUCAUGCACGAAAGCGUGGGGAGCAAACAGGAUUAGAAACCCGGGUAGUCC
rnacentral:rRNA from 1 species